GCAGUUCACGUUUUGCCAGCAAGUGACACAGCGGGCAUUCGCGUUCGGUCGAGUCUGGCAAUUAUUGACAAAACAAAAUAGGUAUAAAUUGGAGAAGAAGAAGAAGAAGAAGGAAAAAAAAUGAAGUUUCGCGUAUGCGUUUUGCAAAUGCUGCUUUUGUUGGCGGCGUUGUUGUGUACUUGUUCGUCGAAAAAACACACUACCACCACCGACCGGACCACGGACAUCCGGACCAAUAUUCUGGCCAGUAACGAUUCCGAAGAAACGCAUUUGAACACCAGGUUUAUGAUAGUUAUGAACAAUCGUCCCGUGGAUUGUCCACCAAACCACAGAAAAGUGCGUGGCAUGUGUCGGAAAACCAUCAUGUACAACAGCAGACAAACAAAUCAGAACCGAAAAAAGAUUUUAAAAAAAUAUAACAAUUUCUACAUCGAAUAAUAUGUGUCACCUACAUUUCAUCGAUUUUGUCAAAGUUUACUUUCACGCAAUAGUGCAUGACACAUCUUAAUUGUUGAUUUGUUUACGAAAUCGUCGAAUAAUUCUACUCUAAACAAAAAUCAUGUACAACGUUAAUGAACAAUGCGUUUUUUUUUUUAUAAUCUGUAAUAUAUUUACCAUUUGUUUUGUUCUUUUAAUUGCCUACCGCUCAAGCUAAAUGUAAGCAAUUCUGUGUUUCAAGUAGGCAUGACAAGGACAGUGUGAACUUUUUGGUCCAAUAAAGUACUGACUUGGACCAACAAAACAAUACUUGGGUAAGUGCACAUUUCACUAUAUUUGUAAAUAUACUUGGUACAUUUUUAUCCUCACCCCUUAUAUUUGGUUUUUUUUUUAUUGGGAACGUACGUUUUGAAAUGUUAUUUCAUAAUUUCUGUCGGUAUUUUUAAAUUAAUUUGAAAAGUUAAUAUUAUCGUACUACCGGAUGGUCAUUCGAUCAUACCGUACAAGGGCGUAAUUUUGUUCACGUACUUAUUUUGAGUGCACUAUAUUUGUAAGUAUUAAAGUGGAAUUUUUUCAAAAUUAAAUAUUGUUAAAAGAAUAUUAUAAUAAAAGAUUAAUAAUCAAUAA